UACGCCAACAGGAACUGCCUUGAGAACGAGGGCCAAUGAGAAUCUGGCCACAUCCGGAAGGCCCACCCCAAGUAGGAAUAUAGGCCAAUCAGAGUGUUGAAAAAACGAACCUGUGGAAGAAACUUGUUACCCCUCAGUGGCGCUGGGGCCUUUGCGGGGGAAAGUAGGCAAGUGAGAGCUACUUAAAGUCAGUUGGUCGGGUCCCUAAAGUCCAAACUGGACCUCUGAGACUCAAUAAAGCUCGGAGGGCCGUCCGGUGCCACCGCGAGGCCCCUUCCGGAAAUUUUAAAACACACUUAAGUGCGCGGGCUGGGCGAGGCUGGAGACAGCUGGGGAUUGUGGGCUUCCGCUCUGGGGUAAACAGACACGCUACCAGUCAGUGACUCCCAGAAAGAUUAGACAUGAUGCGGGAAACUCAAGAGGAGGCGCUGACCCAGACUUCUUAGAGGACAUGACAUCUGAAGACUUUUGCUAGAGGAAAACGGGAGAUACGUUCUGGAUAGCAGGAAUAGUUCACGCGAAGGCCAAGAGACAGUAGUCAUAGGCGUCAACUCAACAGGUCACGUGUGUAGGAUUACCGAUGAAGUAUUAUUUCACCAAAUUAAACCGAAAUCCUGACGGGGGUUAUGAAUUUUUUUGGGAAAAGACCAGAGAAGUAAGGUGCAAUUCCCAUCUUACCGAGGAUACACACUAUCAACAUGACUGACCACAGUUGAUGUCAACUUGAUCUCCUGGCUCAGCACAUGCCUGGUUGUCCUCCUUUGGUGACGUGAAGAUUGAUCAGCAGGGUCAUCCUGUGCUAUUUUAAGAAGCCCAAUCAACCUUCUCACUGAUAGUUUUAGCAGCCCUUAACCAUCAUUACCUGUACCUAUUACUUCAUUAAAAUACAGAAAAUAGUGGUUUUUGAAUUUUAUCAUUCUCUUUGCAAUUAUUAGUGAUUCUUUCAAAUAAUUUCUUCCUUGUCAUGAUGACUUUAGUUACUUGUUCACAUGCAGGAAAGACAGAACAUUUCUUUCCCUAUUUUAUUAAAAAAAGUUCAAAAUGAGUUGGUUCAUAGCACCCUUCAAAGAUGACCAAUGAGGUAUAAGUGUAUAUGUAUCAAUAUAAACUUACAUUUCAAACAUAUUUGAUGUGCAUCAAAUCAUUGCAGUCAUUCUUAUUGCUGCUUUAAAUCUUUGGCUAAGUGGCAGCCCCUUCAGAUUGACUCAUGAGUCCUUUUGACUCAAUCCCAGCAGUCUUUGAGGACUCCUUUGCUUUCUUGCACAAGAUGCCCCAUACUCAUUUUGUACACUUCCUGCCCUAUGCCUGGAAGCAGCUAUUUUCCCAAGGAUCCCUGGUUCCUUCUAGUCAGAAAUGGUAGAGACGACAAUCUGGGCACUAGGGUUGCUCACUAUUACCAGGUAAUCAUUAUAUCUAGACCUUUUCUGUGGACUUAGUGAGGGAAAUACAUAUUUUUAGAAAGACCCAGGAGUUCAUUCUGAUAU